GACGAACGCUGGCGGCGUGCUUAACACAUGCAAGUCGAACGGCAAGGCCCUGCUUUUUUGCGGUUCUCGAGUGGCGAACGGGUGCGUAACACGUGAGUAACCUGCCCUUGUCUUUCGGAUAACUUCACGUAACUGGGCUUACUCCCGUAUCGCAGCUCCUGUUGCAUGGUGGGCGUUGGAUAGUCUCGGCGGUUGGGGAUGGGCUCGCGGCUUAUCAGCUUGUUGGUGGGGUAGUGGCUUACCCAGGGUUUGACGGGUAGCCGGCCUGUGAGGGUGAACGGGCACAUGGGGACUAAGAGACGGACCAGACUCCAACGGGAGGCAGCAGUGGGGAAUAUGGCACAGUGGGCGGAAGUCGGAGGCGGCAGCGCCGCGUGCGGGAUGACGGCCUUCGGGUUGUAAACCGCUUUCGCCUGUGACGAAGCGGGAGUGACGGUAAUGGGUAAAGAAGCACCGGCUAACUACGUG
rnacentral:rRNA from 1 species